ensembl:lncRNA
CUGGGAAGCCCCGGUUUAUUUGUGAUGUCAUGCCUCACAAUCUAGGUCCCUGGGAACAUGGUAUGUAUUUGGCCCUGUAUUUCUUCAUGUUAAAUGUUUUAUAAUAAAGAAAAGCAGGGAGCUGGAAGUUGCUCCAGGGUCAACUGUCUCCCAGGUCACUAAUUACUGUUAGAAAAUCCCAUCUGAAAUGUAUCCUAGUCACUGCUCCUAAUUCUGCUCCUUCAGGAUCCCAUGUGAAAACCCAACUAUUGAUGGCGUCAUCCGAAUUGGCUCCUGCCCUCAGCAGGCUAAUUGUGUAGGCUGGCAACUGCAGAGAGAAACCCACAUCUCCCAGCCACCCCUUCCAUUGCCACCCUCCUCCACCCCUCACCAACCCUUCCGGCCCUUUCAGCAGAUGGCUGCUCACACAGCAUGUUCUUUUCUGUGGAAAAUCCUUAAGAAGCCCAGAGGCAAAGGAUGCUCAAAAAAAUUAUGUUUGCCAGUGGCGUUCUCUUUGCAGACUGUGGACCAGACUCAGUAAGGGAUACUCAGUGGGAGAAAUGAGCUGGGAGUCAUCAGGACAUGUUGCUGAGUUGCUGUGUGACUCUGGGUCAUCCAAGGACAGAAGACUCAGUUUCUUCUCCACUGACUUCCAGAAGCCUCCCACAUUUCCGCUUCCAGACACAUGAAGUUAAGAACAGCUGAUUCAGGACUUCCGUGUUGGUCCAGUGGUUAAGAAUCCGCCUGCCAAUGCAGGAGGCAUGAAUUCAAUCCCUGUUUUGGGAAGAUCCCACAUGCCAUGGAGCAACUAAGCCCGUGUGCCAACAGCUACUGAGCCCAUGCUCUAGAUCCCAUAUACCACAACUACUGAAGCCCUAGAGUGCCCUAGAGCCCAUGAUCCGCAAGAAGAGAAGCCAUUGCCACAAUGAGAAGCCCAAGCACUACAACUAAAGAAAGGCUGCGAGUAGCAAUGAUGACCUAGUGCAGAAGACCAAAUAAAUAAGGAGACCCAAAUAAAUAAAUAAAUGAACAUC